rnacentral:rRNA from 1 species
CCUGGCUCAGGACGAACGCUGGCGGCGCGCCUAACACAUGCAAGUCGAACGAGAGAUGAGGAGCUUGCUCUUCAAAUCGAGUGGCGAACGGGUGAGUAACGCGUGAGGAACCUGCCUCAAAGAGGGGGACAACAGUUGGAAACGACUGCUAAUACCGCAUAAGCCCACGGCUCGGCAUCGAGCAGAGGGAAAAGGAGCAAUCCGCUUUGAGAUGGCCUCGCGUCCGAUUAGCUGGUUGGUGAGGUAACGGCCCACCAAGGCGACGAUCGGUAGCCGGACUGAGAGGUUGAACGGCCACAUUGGGACUGAGACACGGCCCAGACUCCUACGGGAGGCAGCAGUGGGGAAUAUUGCACAAUGGGGGAAACCCUGAUGCAGCGACGCCGCGUGGAGGAAGAAGGUCUUCGGAUUGUAAACUCCUGUUGUUGAGGAAGAUAAUGACGGUACUCAACAAGGAAGUGACGGCUAACUACGUGCCAGCAGCCGCGGUAAAACGUAGGUCACAAGCGUUGUCCGGAAUUACUGGGUGUAAAGGGAGCGCAGGCGGGAGAACAAGUUGGAAGUGAAAUCCAUGGGCUCAACCCAUGAACUGCUUUCAAAACUGUUUUUCUUGAGUAGUGCAGAGGUAGGCGGAAUUCCCGGUGUAGCGGUGGAAUGCGUAGAUAUCGGGAGGAACACCAGUGGCGAAGGCGGCCUACUGGGCACCAACUGACGCUGAGGCUCGAAAGUGUGGGUAGCAAACAGGAUUAGAUACCCUGGUAGUCCACACCGUAAACGAUGAUUACUAGGUGUUGGAGGAUUGACCCCUUCAGUGCCGCAGUUAACACAAUAAGUAAUCCACCUGGGGAGUACGACCGCAAGGUUGAAACUCAAAGGAAUUGACGGGGGCCCGCACAAGCAGUGGAGUAUGUGGUUUAAUUCGACGCAACGCGAAGAACCUUACCAAGUCUUGACAUCCCUUGACGAACAUAGAAAUAUGUUUUCUCUUCGGAGCAAGGAGACAGGUGGUGCAUGGUUGUCGUCAGCUCGUGUCGUGAGAUGUUGGGUUAAGUCCCGCAACGAGCGCAACCCUUAUGGUCAGUUACUACGCAAGAGGACUCUGGCCAGACUGCCGUUGACAAAACGGAGGAAGGUGGGGAUGACGUCAAAUCAUCAUGCCCUUUAUGACUUGGGCUACACACGUACUACAAUGGCGUUAAACAAAGAGAAGCAAGACCGCGAGGUGGAGCAAAACUCAGAAACAACGUCCCAGUUCGGACUGCAGGCUGCAACUCGCCUGCACGAAGUCGGAAUUGCUAGUAAUCGUGGAUCAGCAUGCCACGGUGAAUACGUUCCCGGGCCUUGUACACACCGCC